rnacentral:tRNA from 1 species
UCCUCGUUAGUAUAGUGGUCAGUAUCCCCGCCUGUCACGCGGGAGACCGGGGUUCGAUUCCCUGACGGGGAG